GCCUGACUUUAAUUGGUUAUAGCGCUGUCUGUAUAUAAAGGGCCCUCCCUCACCUGGUAGACAACACGUUCUCCUUCCGGUUCAGACUUCACUGUUUACUGGCGCUAUAAGACUGACGCGCUUAAUACAUUAAUUGCUGUUCAAGCCUUCUUCUGGUAAGAAGCUUCUCACACCUUUAAUAUCUGUAAGUCUAGCUUUAGCUCAGCUUUACUUGUAACAUCUAGGUGACUUGUACCAGCUGACUGCUUCUUCUCCAUGCUAGAGGCAUAACGCAUCAAGCUCAGUGACGCUGCUGUUUGUCCUUGGCCGGCUGCUUGCCCGUACUCUGUUGUCCCUGGUUGACGGUCCGUCCGCCUGUGACCUGGUUAUUCGUCGUCGGCUGACGGCGGCCUACCCGUCGCCCUGGUUGUCGGCUUCAUACCCGCUGUCCUGGUCGGCGUAAGCUGGCUUUUGACUCUCGUCCAGUGUGGCUGAUUCAGGCUGGUUUACGACCAGCUCGUCCUGAUCCCUCUGGUGCCGCUCUGGCUGGCGUUUGCUGUGGCGCGGCGGUUCGUCUCAGGACGGACUCCUAACUUGGACUGCUAUUGCUUGAUUUGUGAGGACUGAACUGUAUAACCAAGAAAUGUAUGUAAUUUGAAUGUCUUUUCUUUUUUUGACAGAACACCGGCCAGCUCGUGGUGUUGGUGGUGGACUUUCCGGGUGGUGGUACUUUCUUUGGUUUGGUGCACGAUUUUCUUUUAUUUGGUUUGCUGUGUUUCCUUUGUAGGUCCCUGCCAGCUUCGAGCUGAGCCGUAAAUGUCCUUUUAAUGUGUGAGUGAUUUUAAAUUAAUAUAUUUCUGACUAGAAAAUUGAAAUAAAUAAACUGAUUGGAUUGAGUGGAAUUGUCUCGUGCCUCAUAUGUAGCGGGCCUGUGUGCCUUAAGGGUAACUUUACAGUAUUAUAAAAUUAGUUAUCUUAAAAUUCAAGUUGCCAAUCGGGAAAGCAUAGGUACCGUCACA